AGGGGUGGGCACAGCUGGGCCGCUCACGCGUCACGUGACAGUGCCGGGUGCAGCGUCUCUGCACCCGGUUCACAGCCGCCAUCUUGAAUUGAGUGUCUGUCGGCAACUUCUGCACAGGGCUGGUCCAGCUGAGGUGUCAGUGUUCAUGCGGCCAUUUCCCGCAGGGAACUCUGGUCUGAAGUACCAGGUGUGAGGCCUCUGACAGCAUCCUGUGAGCAAGUGGAACUAGACCAAACACAAAGGAAAAGAAAAGCUUGUGCUGGAGGAAGCCAGUUGUCAUACCAGGAGGAUGUUCAAGCAGCCUGUGGAGAGAGGAGAUCCAUAUGGUGAGGAAUAAAGGCCUCCUGCCAGCAACCAUGUGAGGAACCACUGUACAGGGGGGUCCUCUCACCCAGGCAAGCCUUUGGGUGACUGAAACACGAGCCAACAUCUUGACUACAAUCACGUGAGAUACCCAGAGCCAGAACCAGCCAGCUAAGUCUCUCCUGGCUUCCUGACUUUCCAGACUCAUGUGAUAUAAUAAAAAUUUAUUGCUGUUUUAA